CCUAGAUGCUAUGGGUAUAGGCAGCUACAUUAAUGUCUAGGGGUAUACCUAGAUGCUGUGCUACACUGCUACAUUAAUGUCUAGGUACCUAGAUGCUAUGCUACACUGCAACAUUCAUGUCUAGGGGUAUACCUAGAUGCUAUGGGUAUUGAUAUCUACAUUAAUAUCUAGGGGUAUACCUAGAUGCUGUGCUACACUGCUACAUUAAAGUCUAGGGGUAUACCUAGAUGCUGCGCAACACUGCUACAUUAAAGUCUAGGGGUAUACCUAGAUGCUGCGCUACACUGCUACAUUAAUGUCUAGGUACCUACAUGCUACGAUACACUGCUACAUUAAUGUCUAGGUACCUACAUGCUGCGCUACACUGCUACAUUAAUGUCUAGGUACCUAGAUGCUAUGCUACACUGCUACAUUAAUGUCUAGGUACCUACAUGCUAUGCUACACUGCUACAUUAAUGUCUAGGUACCUACAUGCUAUGCUACACUGCUACAUUAAUGUCUAGGUACCUAGAUGCUAUGCUACACUGCUACAUUAAUGUCUAGGGGUAUACCUAGAUGCUGUGCUACACUGCUACAUUAAUGUCUAGGGGUAUACCUAGAUGCUGUGCUACACUGCUACAUUAAU